rnacentral:rRNA from 2 species
UACGUAGGUGGCGAGCGUUGUCCGGAAUUACUGGGUGUAAAGCGCGUGUAGGCGGCAGGCCAAGUCGGUGGUGAAAGCGCCCGGCUCAACUGGGCGAGGUCCAUGGAAACUGGUCAGCUGGAGGACGGUAGAGGCGAGUGGAAUUCCCGGUGUAGUGGUGAAAUGCGUAGAGAUCGGGAGGAACACCUGUGGCGAAGGCGGCUCGCUGGGCCGGUCCUGACGCUGAAACGCGAAGGCGUGGGGAGCGAACGGG